rnacentral:rRNA from 1 species
UUCCGUAGGUGAACCUGCGGAAGGAUCAUUAAUUAUGUUAAAGCGCCUUACCUUAGGGUUUCCUCUGGGGUAAGUGAUUGCUUCUACACUGUGAAAAUUUGGCUGAGAGACUCAGACUGGUCAUGGGUAGACCUAUCUGGGGUUUGAUCGAUGCCACUCCUGGUUUCAGGAGUACCCUUCAUAAUAAACCUAGAAAUUCAGUAUUAUAAAGUUUAAUAAAAAACAACUUUUAACAAUGGAUCUCUUGGUUCUCGCAUCGAUGAAGAACGUAGCAAAGUGCGAUAACUAGUGUGAAUUGCAUAUUCAGUGAAUCAUCGAGUCUUUGAACGCAGCUUGCACUCUAUGGUUUUUCUAUAGAGUACGCCUGCUUCAGUAUCAUCACAAACCCACACAUAACAUUUGUUUAUGUGGUGAUGGGUCGCAUCGCUGUUUUAUUACAGUGAGCACCUAAAAUGUGUGUGAUUUUCUGUCUGGCUUGCUAGGCAGGAAUAUUACGCUGGUCUCAGGAUCUUUUUUUUUGGUUCGCCCAGGAAGUAAAGUACAAGAGUAUAAUCCAGUAACUUUCAAACUAUGAUCUGAAGUCAGGUGGGAUUACCCGCUGAACUUAAGCAUAUCAAUAAGCGGAGGAAAU